AACGAACGCUGGCGGCAUGCCUAACACAUGCAAGUCGAACGAUGCUUUCGGGCAUAGUGGCGCACGGGUGCGUAACGCGUGGGAAUCUGCCCUUAGGUUCGGAAUAACAGUUAGAAAUGACUGCUAAUACCGGAUGAUGUCGAUAAGACCAAAGAUUUAUCGCCUGAGGAUGAGCCCGCGUAGGAUUAGCUAGUUGGUGUGGUAAGAGCGCACCAAGGCGACGAUCCUUAGCUGGUCUGAGAGGAUGAUCAGCCACACUGGGACUGAGACACGGCCCAGACUCCUACGGGAGGCAGCAGUGGGGAAUAUUGGACAAUGGGCGCAAGCCUGAUCCAGCAAUGCCGCGUGAGUGAUGAAGGCCUUAGGGUUGUAAAGCUCUUUUACCCGUGAUGAUAAUGACAGUAGCGGGAGAAUAAGCCCCGGCUAACUCCGUGCCAGCCGCCGCGGUAA
rnacentral:rRNA from 1 species